rnacentral:misc_RNA from 1 species
CCAAUAGCGUAUAUUAAAGUUGCUGCAGUUAAAAAGCUCGUAGUUGAAUUUCGGGACUAAUAUGUCGGUCGUGCCUCGGUACGUACUGGUAUUUUUGGUUUCUCCCUUCUGACGAACCUUGAUGUCAUUAAUUUGGUGUCUUGGGAAAUCAGGACUGUUACUUUGAAAAAAUUAGAGUGUUUAAAGCAGGCUCACGCUUGAAUACAUUAGCAUGGAAUAAUGAAAUAGGACGUUUGAUUCUAUUUUGUUGGUUUCUAGGAUCGACGUAAUGAUUAAUAGGGAUAGUUGGGGGCAUUAGUAUUCAAUUGGCAGAGGUGAAAUUCUUGGAUUUAUUGAAGACUAACUACUGCGAAAGCAUUUGCCAAGGAUGUUUUCAUUAAUCAAGAACGAAAGUUAGGGGAUCGAAGACGAUCAGAUACCGUCGUAGUCUUAACCAUAAACUAUGCCGACUAGGGAUCGGAUGAUGUUAAUUUUUUAAUGACUCAUUCGGCGCCUUACG